GCGCACCAGGCGAGAAUACUCUACAAUAAGCGAAAGCUUGACAGGGUUAUUCUGAGUGAUUUCCGCUAAGGAAAUCUUUUGGCACCUCUAAAAAUGGUGCAGAAUAAGGGGUGGGCAAGUCUGGUGUCAGCCGCCGCGGUAAUACCAGCACCCCGAGUGGUCGGGACGUUUAUUGGGCCUAAAGCAUCCGUAGCCGGUUCUACAAGUCUUCCGUUAAAUCCACCUGCUUAACAGAUGGGCUGCGGAAGAUACUAUAGAGCUAGGAGGCGGGAGAGGCAAGCGGUACUCGAUGGGUAGGGGUAAAAUCCGUUGAUCCAUUGAAGACACCAGUGGCGAAGGCGGCUUGCCAGAACGCGCUCGACGGUGAGGGAUGAAAGCUGGGGGAGCAAACCGGAUUAGAUACCCCCGGUAGU
rnacentral:rRNA from 1 species